rnacentral:rRNA from 1 species
UACGGAGGGUGCAAGCGUUAUCCGGAUUCACUGGGUUUAAAGGGGGUGUAGGCGGGGAUUUAAGUCAGUGGGGAAAUCUCCAGGCUCAACCUGGAAACUGCCAUUGAUACUAUUUAUCUUGAAUUCUGUUGAGGUGGGCGGAAUACAUCAUGUAGCGGUGAAAUGCUUAGAUAUGAUGUAGAACACCGAUUGCGAAGGCAGCUCACUAAACAGACAUUGACGUUGAGGCACGAAAGCGUGGGGAUCAAACAGG